rnacentral:rRNA from 1 species
CAGUCGCCGCGGGAAUACAGAGGGUGCGAGCGUUAAUCGGAUUUACUGGGCGUAAAGCGUGUGUAGGUUGUUGUUCAAGUCAGUUGUGAAAUCCCUGGGCUCAACCUGGGAACUGCUUCUGAGACUGAACGACUAGAGUACGGUAGAGGGUGGUGGAAUUUCCGGUGUAGCGGUGAAAUGCGUAGAUAUCGGAAGGAACAUCAAUGGCGAAGGCAGCCACCUGGGCCUGUACUGACACUGAGACACGAAAGCGUGGGGAUCAAACAGGAUUAGAUACCCCGGUAGUCCCUGUCUCUUAUAC